GUCAUCUCCAAUUCGCAGCAAACUUUGAUUUCUACAGCAGCAUGAUCAAUACAGCAGAAAAACUUUGAUUUCAAACUUUGAUUUUCUUCCACAGCAGCAAACUUUGAAGCAGCAAAACUUUGAAUGAUUUCUUUCUUUCACACGUUUAUGUUCAAACAAGUAAAUUCAAUCUAUUUAAACCUCAUUGUAUCAUCCUCAAAAUUCACAAAUCCAACAAAAAAAACUCAACUUUUAUAAUCCAAUCUGUAAAACCCAGCAGCAACCGACUUACUUGUUCCCUUCACAGUUCACCACAAAACUCAAUCUGCUCUUUUCACUGCAGAAUUCCAUUGGUGCGGCGCGACUAGGAUGUGAACUUUAAAUUCUUGCAGUUAAUUUUCAAAGCUCAAAAGUUCAAGUUUCAGUUUCAGGUGAUUGAUAUCGGAGGCGCGUGGAGAGUCGAAUGGGCGCGUCGAAUCUAUUUAAAGAUAAAUGUUUCUUAAAACAUAUUAUGUUAUUUCAUGUGAUAUCUUUUGGUUAUGUAAACUCUGAAAUUCUAUACUAUUUGAGAUUUGUGUGUGAUUUGUCUAAAUAAAUAUUGUUAUAUUAUUUUAAUGUCA